rnacentral:lncRNA from 10 species
AUGUAUCUUAGUGUCUUUAAAGCUAUUAAAAUACACUGGGCUUUUUGCCACCAUGUAAAAAUGGACACAGCAUGGUAUGCUCUCAUAACUUUUCCUUUCCUUAUAUUAACUGUCAUUGCUGUGUUUGCUCUUGCUGUCUUAUUUUACACACAAAAGUCUGGCAAGGUUCUAAACUCAAUUCUGCCUCCAAAGCAGAAUAAAAUACAUGGACUUGGUUACAAUUCAGAAGUCUUUUCCACUUAUUUCUGA